UCCUUUCAACUUCUGCUGCUCUGCACACUAACUCCUUCACCAGGAACAUUUAAUCAGGUCCUUUCAACUUCAGCUGCUCUGCACACUAACUCCUUCACCAGAAACAUUUAAUCAGGUCCUUUCAACUUCUGCUGCUCUGCACACUAACUCCUUCACCAGGAACAUUUAAUCAGGUCCUUUCAACUUCUGCUGCUCUGCACACUAACUCCUUCACCAGGAACAUUUAAUCAGGUCCUUUCAACUUCUGCUGCUCUGCACACUAACUCCUUCACCAGGAACAUUUAAUCAGGUCCUUUCAACUUCUGCUGCUCUGCACACUAACUCCUUCACCAGGAACAUUUAAUCAGGUCCUUUCAACUUCUGCUGCUCUGCACACAGACUCCUUCACCAGUAACAUUUAAUCAAAUUUUCUCAAUUCAACUAUCACUGCCCUGAUACUCAAAACAUCAUGAGUUUAAAAUACUCAUUCAUGUAAAUGAUUUGCAAGUGGUUUUUUUUAAUGACUGGCUAUAAUUAUGCAUGAUUAACUUAAAUCUUAUUAACUCACUAACACGACUAACCUCACUAACUUAAUCAGUUAUUAUAAAAACCACUUGCUGAGUUUUACUAUGAAGGUCUUACUGAUGUUGCUUGAAAGACAGCGCUGACUAAUUUAUCAGGUUGAACAACUUCGAGCUAAGUAGUCUUCAACUCUGGAAUUACUCAAGACUUUUUCUCCAGUGAAAAUAAUCGCUCAAUCUUCAAAUUAUGCUGUCCCAAGUAACUAUCUCCGUCUUGU